GAGUUUGAUCCUGGCUCAGAUUGAACGCUGGCGGCAGGCCUAACACAUGCAAGUCGAGUGGAAACGAUGGAAGCUUGCUUCCAGGCGUCGAGCGGCGGACCGGUGAGUAACGCGUGAGAAUCUGCCCAUUUGUGGGGGAUAACUCGGGGAAACUCGAGCUAAUACCGCAUAAUCCCUACGGGGGAAAGCAGGGGACCUUCGGGCCUUGUGCAGAUGGAUGAGCUCGCGUCGGAUUAGCUAGUAGGUAGGGUAAAGGCCUACCAAGGCGACGAUCCGUAGCUGGUCUGAGAGGAUGAUCAGCCACACCGGGACUGAGACACGGCCCGGACUCCUACGGGAGGCAGCAGUGGGGAAUCUUGGACAAUGGGGGCAACCCUGAUCCAGCCAUGCCGCGUGUGUGAAGAAGGCUCUAGGGUUGUAAAGCACUUUCAGUAGGGAGGCAAGGGGUCCGCUAAUAACGGUGCAUCCCUGACGUCACCCGCAGAAGAAGCACCGGCUAAUUCAGUGCCAGCAGCCGCGGUAAUACUGAAGGUGCAAGCGUUAAUCGGAAUUACUGGGCGUAAAGCGCGCGUAGGCGGUUAUUUAAGUUGGAUGUGAAAGCCCUGGGCUCAACCUAGGAACUGCAUCCAAAACUGAAUAACUAGAGUGCAGUAAAGGGAGGUGGAAUUUCCGGUGUAGCGGUGAAAUGCGUAGAGAUCGGCUUAGUAUUCUUGGUGACGAGGUUAACGCAAUAAGUAGACCGCCUGGGGAGUACGGCCGCAACGGUAAAACUCAAAGGAAUUGACGGGGGCCCGCACAAGCGGUGGAGCAUGUGGUUUAAUUCGACGCAACGCGAAGAACCUUACCAGGCCUUGACAUCCUGCGAAUUUUCUAGAGAUAGAUUAGUGCCUUCGGGAACGCAGUGACAGGUGCUGCAUGGCUGUCGUCAGCUCGUGUUGUGAAAUGUUGGGUUAAGUCCCGUAACGAGCGCAACCCUUAUCCUUAUUUGCCAGCACGUAUGGUGGGAACUCUAAGGAGACUGCCGGUGACAAACCGGAGGAAGGUGGGGACGACGUCAAGUCAUCAUGGCCCUUACGACCUGGGCUACACACGUGCUACAAUGGCAGGAACAGAGGGGCGCGAAGCCGCGAGGGGAAGCUAAUCCCUUAAAACCGUUCGUAGUCCGGAUUGGAGUCUGCAACUCGACUCCAUGAAGUUGGAAUCGCUAGUAAUCGCGAAUCAGAAUGUCGCGGUGAAUACGUUCCCGGGCCUUGUACACACCGCCCGUCACACCAUGGGAGUGGAUUGCACCAGAAGUAGUUAGUCUAACCUUCGGGAGGACGAUUACCACGGUGUGGUUCAUGACUGGGGUGAAGUCGUAAUAAGGUAGCCGUAGGGGAACCUGCGGCUGGAUCACCUCCUUU
rnacentral:rRNA from 1 species